GAUGAACGCUGGCGGCGUGCCUAAUACAUGCAAGUCGAGCGAACAGACGAGGAGCUUGUUCCUCUGACGUUAGCGGCGGACGGGUGAGUAACACGUGGAUAACCUACCUAUAAGACUGGGAUAACUUCGGGAAACCGGAGCUAUUACCGGAUAAUAUAUUGAACCGCAUGGUUCAAUAGUGAAAGACGGUUUUGCUGUCACUUAUAGAUGGAUCCGCGCCGCAUUAGCUAGUUGGUAAGGUAACGGCUUACCAAGGCAACGAUGCGUAGCCGACCUGAGAGGGUGAUCGGCCACACUGGAACUGAGACACGGUCCAGACUCCUACGGGAGGCAGCAGUAGGGAAUCUUCCGCAAUGGGCGAAAGCCUGACGGAGCAACGCCGCGUGAGUGAUGAAGGUCUUCGGAUCGUAAAACUCUGUUAUUAGGGAAGAACAAAUGUGUAAGUAACUAUGCACGUCUUGACGGUACCUAAUCAGAAAGCCACGGCUAACUACGUG
rnacentral:rRNA from 1 species